CUCCUAUACGCGAAAUCAUCGGCGGCAUGGCAUAGCGAUUUGUACGAUCGCUGCCCUUGCUGCGCAGCCGCGGUCCCUUCGCUUUCCUUCGGGGCUCCCGUACAGCCGGCGGUGUUUGGUGGGAUGGUGUUUUGUACGAUCGUUGGCCCCAAUCGCUUCCCUUCGGGGCUCCCGUACAGACAGCGGUCUCUUUCAGGGGUUCUGGUUCCGAGGCACACCGUACGCCGCCCAUGCCUCCUCCGACUUGGCCAUCGAUGCCUUUCGGGGGUGUUGAUUCUGAGGCCCGCCGUACGUCGUCUUUCAGGGGUGCUGAUUCCUAGGCACUCCGUACGCCGCCCAUGCAGCCUCCGAUCUGGCCGUACGGUCCCUCCCCCCCUGCCCUGGGGGACAGAGUGGUUGGUUACAUAAUCCCCCCUCCUUAUUCUACCGUCAGAAGGUUGCUUGUCGUACGCCCCCCCUCCCCCUCGCCGCGCGCGUUUUGCCCGAGCACUUAUAAAUAUAGGGGUUCUCUUCCGGAGGGCUAAGAAAGUUGGGGUUUUUGCUCAGUGAACCCUUCGCUGUUGUGGGUUGGGGAUUUUGCUCGGUGAACCCUGUGUUGUUGUGGGUUUUCUCACGGAGGGCUAAGAAAGGUGGGGUUUUGGUUCGGUCGUGCUAUCUAUUUUCGAGCAGAGAUCGGACAGAAGUUAUGUUUGGUUUCUUGCCAUUGCGAGCUAGCUUUUAUAUGUGGGUGCAUGUACUUAAGUUGUUGGUGCUGCCGGAAGAUCUCAAACGGUUGUGGGUAUAAUGUUUGGGGUAGUCCAAUUGCAAUUUUGGCUGGUGGACAAAUCUGAGCCCUAUAUUGAUAUUUUAUUGCUUGCUAUAUUGGUUUAUGAGGUAAGGCAUUAAUAUUGUGGUGGGAUUAUUGCUGCGACUUUUUUUUUGUAAUUGCUGUUUUUUGUAAUUGCUAAAAAAGUUUCGCAGGAUGGCUGGACACAUCGAGAGCUUUGUGAUUGUGUUUCUAUAAGAAUUUUGUAGCCUUCUUGCGUUAUUUCCUUACAGGAAUUCACCUUUGGGUUCUUAUAUUGAUUGA